GAAUGUAGGGUGAAUAAAGUAGAAUUGAGAAAAUUGUAUUUUAGGUAUUGUAAGUGGGCAAAGUAGACUUACAAUUAAAAAUAUAUAAGUGGGGUGUGAAGAGAAUGUGAGGUGAGUAAAAUUGUUUGUGGGGUGGCAAUAGACGCACCCAAUUUUUUUUUUGUCAAUGAGAUUUUUUUUUUUUGUUCUUCUUCAGCUAAUGGGGUCUUUCUAGUCAUAGGGGUAAGUGGGUGGGCAAAAAAGGGCUAGUUCAAUUUGAAAUCGACGAUUUGUUUCCUUAAGAGCAACUCCAACAGCAUCUCCAUAAUUUCUCUAUUAUACGGAAGCUAAAGUCAGAGCUUUACGCAAUUUUUCAUCUUCAACUCCAACAAAUUCCCUAUUUUAGAGAUUUGAUGACUAUUCCCCAUAUCCUUCUUUAAAAUUUUAGAGUUUGCUGCAAAUAUGGGGAAUUUAGUUUUCUCUCUCAUCACAUUCUCUAUUUUGGAGAAAGUUUUAGGAGAUAUGUUGGAGCAAAACAACCAAAAUCUUCCCAAAAAGUGAGAAAACUAAGAAUAUAAGGAAGUCAUUGGAGAUGCUUUAAGAGAGGAGAAGAAGUCUUAGAAAAUGACAGAGGAUGUAAACAAUUUUUUUUUUUGUUAUCGGAAAAGAAACCAUAGGACAAUAGAAGAGUUUUGCAUCUUAUACGGUAUCUAGAGCAACAAGCUAUGCUCCCCAAAUUUUUUUUUUUUGAAAACAAGAGCUAAACGGCAGCCAUCACGCCAUAAUCAUUAAUGAAACCUCAGAAUACAAGGGGGAGACGUUGUGCCUAAACCCCAUACUGUAAGAACACCAUAAAUUAACAUUAGGCGUGUCUACAAAAUCUAUGCAUUCCAACAAGCACCAUUUAGCAAAGAGUGCAUCAUUAGCUACUCCAUUUGUUUUACAAUUUUGAUAACAUACCAAAAAAAUACCACACAUGUAGAGCCAUAAGUUACAAUAUCUAUCAGCUUUCCGGCUAUGAUGCCAUUGGGAAUAACCAGUGACCCCAAGUUUCAUCUUGCCACUUCUUGCCAUUAGGAGGCAGUGACCAUUUGACAAAGCAAGGAACUCGCCGCCUCAUUAGGACAAACAUGGUAUGCAGCGUGCGUUUUCCAGGACAUAGCCCACCAGUAUCCAAAAUCGCUAGAAAACAAUAAACCAAAAACUAAAAGGAGCAUCUACUACUAGGGCGUAGCCCUCUGUCAGCCAUAAACUGGUGACUUAUUACCACAACUAACCAAGAUAUAACUAACAAAAUAAAAGACUUCAUAAAGAACAUAGUAAAUACCAAAAUUGGGCCUAUACCCCAAAUCAAGGCCAUGAGGUCCAAAGCAAGACAAAGGUCCACUGGCCAACCAACUCUGGCCCACGUCAGCAGCUGCAUCACCUCCCCUCUGUUGAGCCCACCACAUCGCAGCCAACCUUCGGUCUUGGGUUGAUCACCGUCGUCAUCAAACUGCCGGCCGCCUGAAGUAGUGAUCACCCACCCCUUCUGGCUAGAUCCAGAUCUAUCAGCCACACCAGAGCCUCCACAAGGCCUCUUUGUCGGCGUUGGAAUCUGUUCUCCCCCAUACCACCCACCAUCCUCCCUUGACAGAACACGCUUCAACUCAUAAACGAGUCUGCCACUCACCCCAUCACACCACCAAAACCAUCUCAUCAUCCGUCAACAACGAUUGAUCGCCGCCCCACUCUAGACCGGAACCACAGCCACUGCGAUCUCACUCCACUGCCAAACCACAGCCCCAUAUGCAGCCACCCACACAAACCAAGAAGACCCAUCGAAGAAGCCUCCAAACGUCUGCCUCAAACCACCAGCCUCGCUCACCAACCAUGCAUCCCGUCCGGCCGUCCUAAACAAACGUUGACGAGGCCAGAGGCCAUCCCCAACACCCUGGAGCUGCCGGACAGGCGAAGGAAAAACCAAAUUCGCGAUCUAGAUUUAGAGUGCGUGGAGGCGCAUUCAACUGAAUUAUGGAUGCAUGCUCCCCAAAAUUUAGGCAAUAUGCAAAUUGUUCAUAUUUUGAUAGCAGACUACAAAAUUUCAGCAUAUGGAAAUUGUUUUUUAUUUUUUUAUAUUUCUAUUACUUUGUUAGAAGCAUUUGGGGCAUUGUUUGGUCGUUACCAUGUAUGACAACACUAUGGAGUUCGUCUUUUAAAGCUAGAGCAUCAUGAGGUUGUACAUCAUUUAUACCUAACUUCUUAGCGGCAUAAUUGUAUUACCAAAAUCACCUCUAAACACAAAAUCAUGAGCACUUUGACAUUGUUAAUGAAACGUUUUUUAGAGAAAAUUGUUAAUGAAACGUUGAAAUGGUUUCCAUUACUAAACUUUGGCAAGAAUCAUAUCUUAGGACUAUAACGUGAGUGACUUUGAUCAUCACAUCAUAGUUUUUAAGAAAGGAACAACGUAAAAUUUCCCAAUAUUUUGUUUCAAAAGAAAAAUGUUAUAACUAUUUUGCUAUAAUCUGUUCACCAAAGAGUGCCACUGCCACCAGAAUUCAUAUACAAAUAAUAGACGCAAGUACUGAUUUUGACGAUUAAACAAUCACUUCUCACAAUUUUUUUAAAUUUUUUUAAAGAGGGUCGGUGCAGCUAAUCUCGAGUCUUGAUUACUGAAACCAUAAAAUACAAAAAGAAGGUGGGCACAUUGAGCCUUAACUCUAAGUUACAAUAUACAACAAAUUCUAAUCCGUUUAGCAAAUAGUGUUUCAUUUGAUACUCUAUUUGCUUUAACAAAAUAUUGACAUAACGGAAAAAUAACUCUACCAUCUACCAUGAAGAAGCAUCAAACUUUAUAUAUAUAUAUAUAUAUAUAUAUAUAUAUAUAUAUAUAAUUAAUUUAUAAUAUUCAUAAGUAUUAUAAAUCGUAUUACGUGAUGAUCCCCUAUAAAAUAAUUUUUUUUUCUAAUCCUCUAGCCUGCUCAUUACUUUAGGGAUAAAACUUGGUUGACAAACCCUUGUCAUCUUUAGGUGACCAGCAUCAAUAAGGAGACGACACCUGUUAUUUUUAGACUUGUGUAGAAAAAAGUAAAGAAGAAAGCUUACAAUUGUUAGAGGGGGAGUUAAGCGGAAUCCAGCUCUCUGUUCUCAAAUUUCUUAGAGACCCAAACCAUCGCUUCUGCAAAGGCAAAUUCUCCUUUGUCAAAUUCCUCGUCAAAGUCGAGCUUUGACUUAGAGACCCAACCCCUUGCGUUCACCGAUCUGCUCCCUCUCCUUCUCAUGUCACUCACUCGUUCCUAGUUUGAUUCGAUCCCGACUCGGUAUCGAGUGACAUCGAAAGGCCUUGAGUUACAAAUUGAUGGGUACGUAUGUUUGAGCCAUGUAAAUUUAGUGUCGUGAAAUUAGUUUCCAGCAAUCAAUAUAUGAUAGCAUGAGGCAAGAAUUCUAAAAUUUGCUGGUCUGUAAUUCUCACUAACAGAAAACAUCCAUAUUCUGUUUAACUCUCUAUUAGCAAUGUUGAGCCUCUUUUACUGAUAAAUCUAAAACAACACGUGUCAUCAAUUUAUUGAUGUUGGUCACCUAAAUGUGACAAGGGCUUGUCACCCAAGUUCUAUCCUUAUAUCAGUGUGUCAUCUAGUGUGUCCUUGAUUGGAUUGGAGAGUGUGGUACCACAUUACACCUCACGCAGCAGGCAGCAAUGGUGCUCAAUGUGACCCUUGGAUUCGACUCAACCUUUACUAGUAGUGUUGUCCCCUCUUUGGAUCUUUUUAACAGUACAAACCAAGUAAAGGACUAAAAACGUCGACGUCCUGAUAUAGAGAGAGAGAGAGAGAGAGAGAGAGAGAGAGAGAGAGAGAGACGCCUUAACUACCUUUCUCCAUUUUUAUGCAAAUAUAGUUUUGGAAUGCCCAUCAUUGCCCUCUCCUUAAAUUUGCCACAAAAGGCAAAGACCAUAGGAUUCAGAUCGAAAGAAAAAGAAGAAAAAAUCUACCACUUCCACGAGUCGACCCCACGCGCCACUCCUCGUCUCGGCUUUCUUCGCAUAGAAGACACCGUUUGUGAGCCCAGUAAACGAUGACGUUCCACCCUGAACCGUCCCGGCCUUACAUGUUUACCCCUCGCGUAACGUGCACGUCACUAAUACUUAAUCACCGUCCACACUCGUCACUUUAGCCAUCGACGGCGGAGAACGAAGGUAUAGAUGCGGCCGUAGAAGCAGAGAAUCAUUACCUGGGUUUCUCGAUUUGGCGCAACAUUGCUCAGACAAAGAGAGAGAGAGAACCAAAGGAUCAGAAAGAAAAUAAACCAUCUGAUAUUGUCUGCCUCUUCAAACACCACUGUGUAGUGAAGUCUCUGUCUUUCUCUGCCUCUGUUUCUGCUUCCUUCACCAUUGUUGUGUAGCCGAAAAUCUCGCAAAAGAGCGAAAAUAUCGGAGCUGGGGACGGCGGUGGUGACGAGGGCAGAUGCAACCGGCACCUGGCGGAAGUGGAGAAGUGACUCGAGGUGGGCUCGGCCGGUUCUGCUCGGCGCCGGCGUCAUGGUUGGAGGCGCUGCUUGAGGACGAGGAAGAGGACCCUUUGAAGCCAACCCAGUGCCUCACCGACCUUCUUGCAGAUAGCUGCGGUGGGCCCACUUCGUCUGUGGCGGUGGGGUUUGGUGCGGAAGUGGUGGCGGAUCCAGCUGCGAGGUUUUUGAGACAGAACAGCUCUCCGGCCGACUUUGUCGGAAAUUCGAGUGAUGGGUCGGAAGGGUAUUUCUCCGGGUUCGGUGGGAUUCCGGCCAGCCAGCUCGACUAUGUUUCUAACCCGAAUUUCGGUAGCGUUUCUUCAUCUUCUUUGGCUAAUAAGCGGGUUCGGGAGGUGGUGAGUAAAUUUUGAAUCUUCAACUUUCUUUUUAUUUUUCGAAAUGAAUUUGUCUAUUUAAUAGUUGGUGGUCGAUUUUUUGUCUGUAGAAAAUGGAGGAAGGUGGAUUGGAGGAGUCAGGAGCUCUGAGGGUUAGGGCAAAGAGAGGUUGUGCUACUCAUCCAAGGAGUAUUGCUGAAAGGGUAACUACUAUAGUCUUCCUUGGACACAUUUUAUUCAUUUCUAUAUAUAGAAAAUAAGAGGGUGGAAUGUUUCCAUUUCUAAUCAUAAAUAAUUACCUAGUUGAGUUAAUAUAUUGGUUUAUUAAGUUCUUAUGUUUCAUGGGUUUGUUGUAGGUUAGGAGGACUCGAAUUAGUGACCGGAUAAGGAAGCUUCAGGAGCUGGUACCCAACAUGGAUAAGGUUAGAGCUUCUGACUGAUUUACUUUCUGAUCAAACUACAAUUUCUGUAUAUCAAUACCAUAUGAUAGAACCUGGAAGAUAAUUUGUUUUGAAAUACCAUUUGCUGUAGCACACUACUGUUCAACUGCAGCUAGUGAUUUAGUUGGAGUUGUUGUGUGAUCAAACUAAUAUUAUGUAUAGGAGUAUCCUACUUCGUGUUGGGCAAUGAUGAUGGCAAUCUAAUGAUGACUCUAAGUCUUCUGCCCUUGUUUCAUGGAUAGUUUAGAUUAGUCUGGAGUGAGUGAGACAAUAAACAGUUAAUUUAUAAUCUAGCUAACCGCAUAUGUCAAAGAUCUUCCCCUUUUGAGUUAGGAAUGAGCUAGGGAAGGCAUAAUGUAAAAGGAGGAAUACAAUUUAGGGAAUUCGUGAUUAUAACCUUUGUUCUAAAUUCUAAAAUCAGCAAGUUAAAAAAGCUUUGAUGCACUGAACAAUUAACUAAAUAAGUGAUUAUUUUUAAUUUGUUCAAUGCCUUAAUCAGUGAAUAAAUAGUUUUAACCUUCAUGUUUUUUUAUAAACCGAAAAGGGAUUGUACUUUUCUUUUACAUCUUUAAAACUUUAUAGGCAUUUUAAAGCUGCAAGUAACUUUACUAUCUCUACAAUCAGUCUUUAUCCAUAUGGUGAGAUUCCGGGACUUCAUUUUUACUGGUAAAAUAUUACUUUAUCAAGAUUGUAAUUCAUUUUACAUCCAUCUCCCAACAGAUAGGUGGACCUCUUCUUUAUAUUCUUGUAUUUGGUUUUAUUUUAUGUACAUUACUUAUGAACAUGAACUCCCUAUUAUUUUUAUAAUCAGUCUUGAAAGCUAUUGCCAUAUUUUGAUUCUUGCAUUUGUAAACUAUCUUGAGAGUUUGUAAAAGAAGAAACUAGCAAAUUGUUCGGAUAAUAUUAAACUUCCUAAUUUGGUAGUAAAGAACAGCUUACAAGAGUCUCAUUAAGCAGACAAUAGCUCACAGUUGUUUGGUGUGGGGCUUCUAUUGUUGUUCCUUGCAGCAAACUAAUACUGCGGAUAUGUUAGACGAGGCAGUGGAGUAUGUGAAGUUUCUUCAGAAACAGAUUCAGGUAUAUUACACAUUGACCUUGUUUUAAAAAUCUCCCCAUACAUUACACUGGCUUUGGAAUAAUUCAAGUGAAGUUCUUUAUGUACUGAAAUAUUAUAAUUUUGCAGGAGUUGUCAGAGUAUCAGCGCAGGUGCAAAUGCAUGCCUAAAGAAUAAACAGAGGUACCUCAGAAUGCCACCUACUGUUUAGUGUAAUUAUUAGGUUUUUAAACUUUCAGCCGAGGUUUGUCAUCAUGGUUGUUGAUUAGAAUUACCUUGUAUUUUUGAGAUACUCUAUAUUCUAAGGCACAUUCUUCAAUAUAUAGAUGUAAGAAUGCCAUACCUAGAAUCAGUGGUAAAGCCUUUGGCCGCUUCCUAGAAUCAGUGGUUAAGCAUUUGGCCGCUUCCUUUUGAAAAUUCUGUUAGUAUUAUUGUAUUCCAUCAAAAAGGAACCCGAGUAUUGUUAUGGACUCAUAGCUCUAAAAUUAUGCGUCACAUUUCAUAUUUUUAACAUGCUUUUAAUCAUUUUCCCCAUUAUCUUCUUUCCAUGUCCAUAUAUCAUCUUGAAUAUAUAGGUUGAAAAGUUGCAGUUCACAUUGUUAAAAAAAAUAAAAAAUAAAAAAUAAAGAAAAAAGAAGACAAGGCUGGUUCUCAUGAUAAGCUACAUAUUAAUAAACAGAUUUAGUUAAAUUAUCAGGCAUGUCAUAUGAAAUUGUUUUCAAUAUAUGUUGUCCUGUAAAUAGAGGAGGAUUAUAAGUGAGAGGAUCAAUUUUGUGUGGUUCAUGAUUGUUUUGAAUGAAUAAAAACAAUCUGUUGGGGUUUACUGUUAUGGACCAAAUUCUCUAAGCAAGAAAUAUUAGAAUGUAAUUUUUUUUUAUUGGUCCACCUUGUAGUAUGUGUGAGGCUAGCAACUCAUAGUAGGAGUUCCCCAAGUUCAAAUCCUUCGAUUUUCAAGCUCUUAAAGUCUUAAUCUAUGUUGAUUGUGGUUUGUCUAGUAGGUAAUGGAGACUCACACAUGAAGAAGAGGUAGAAUAUAGGCUAUUGGAUAAUAAGGAAAGGUGGUGAGCUAAAUAAUUUUAUCAUUUUAUGCAGGUCCUAUACAGUAUAAUUAAAGCCAAUUGUGCUUAGAAGUUCAAACUAAAUGUAUAAACGGAUUGCAGUACUUUCCUCUCUCGCUCAACAUUUCUAAUCCUACACCAUACUAGUAAUGGGCAUUGUCUUUAGAGGUGAUAAUAUUGUUAUACAGAGAAAACAUAGAUGCUUAACUAUGGAUGGUGCUCGCUCGUAGUUUGGAUUGAGGGUUUUGCAGCUUCAAAUUGUUUGUGAUAUGAUUUUGACCAUAUCUCAUAUGUGAACUUGGUUUGGUUAUCCAAAUUCCUUUUCAAAAGAUUGUUCCUUUAACUAAUCGAAGUUAGAGAAAACUUUUUGGUUUCUGAUUCUAUAAUUUCAGAGGAAAGCCUAUUGAUGUGAUGUUAAUUGGGAAUGCAGUAAGUUGUCUGAUAGAUAUCCCUCCUGGUCUUUUUUUUUUUUUUUUUUUUUUUUUUUUUUGAGGAAUAUCCCUCCUGUUGAGAUAUAUUAGAAAUCAAAAAGUUAAUUUGGAAUACAUCAAUCUAGAAUAUUUGCUGAUCUUAUAAGUCUAUUGAUUUGAUUUAAUACUAUGCAUGAUCUGGCUACCCAAUGGGGUCAGAAAGGUGAGCUUUUGUGAAGGUUCUCUAAUGCAUAAUUAUGUAGUCACAAUUUCAUUGCUCAUGCCUGGUAUUAGAUGAUUUUGUUUUCUUCAGUCCUAGAAUUUGCUGAAACCAUAUAUAUACAUGUAGAUCUUGGGUAGAGAGAAUUACUGAGAAAUAUACUAGGUUUUUGGUAUCUCUUGGUGUUGCGGAACAAAAGGUCAUCCCUUGCUUGCCAUACUUGCCGGCAUAAAAGAAAAGCGGUGGACGGAAUAUCUGAGGGGAAGACAUUGAAGUUCCAUUGGUGGUACUCCCAUUGCAGCAUCCUUGAGCUAGAAUUGAUGGCAGAUGAGCAGUUUUUGGUGCAUCUCCAUGGGAAAGUAUAAUUUUGAACAUCAGCAUGUAGUACGUUAUUUUCUUAAUCAAAACCUUCCUUGUUUUGCCUGACAUUAUAUGGACCAAAUUUGAGAUUUUGUAAACAAAUAGAACAUAUUAAUUGAAGAAGGAUGGACAUAUUGUUUGGGUUUUGCUUCACCUAAGAUAUAUUAGGUUGGCUUUUUGUUUAGGCUUAUAGGAUGAGCCUCAAAACAUAGGAUUAAGGUUUGUUGGCAUACCUAUACCACUAAACAUUAGCUAUUAUUGGUGUUGGGACAUGAAGUACAUCAAUGAAGUUAGUAGGUCCAAAGUUGUGGGUUUAUAGUAAUGGUUAAAAAGCUACGGAAACAAAUGAAAAGCAGGGACCUAAAACUGGGAUCAGGAUGGUGCCAAUCAAAUACCCUUCCCAUGCAACAAUGAUGCUUCUGUUUUGCAUUCUGUACCCGAGUUUAUUCUUUGGGAGUGAAGUUGAACUCUUCCUGCACCUAUUGAAAGUUUCGUUGAUGAAAUGCCACAUCUUUUGGUAUUGAUAUUUGGUAUAUUUUGUUGGUAUCCCAACCAUUUUCCAUAUGUCAAUUAAUUAAUAUAUAAAACUUUCGUUAGUAUUUGAUCGUUUAUUAAGCAUCACAUCCAAUGACCGCUUUAUCAAGAAUCUUGGCAUGUAGUAAGUUCUAAUUGUGGUUGCCGUUGAGAACACGAUUGACAUUGAUUCAAUAAUCGGUAGAGAAAAUAGAUGGCUUAUUUUCGUUGAGUAAUGCCCCAGUCCAACUUUUUUUUAGAGUAUGAAUUGUAGGUGUGGUUUUUCUAGUGUUUGAAGGUUGAUGGAAAGUAGUUGCAAACUGUGACAGCUCUGUUUUGCUCUUCAAUUGAAACAAUUUGUGCUUGUGCCUUACAUGAUAGAUUUUAUUGAUGAAAGCUUAUAGCCUUAUACCCAUCAUCAGAAUCAUCAUUGGAAACAGAACAAUCUUCUAUUACCAUAGUAACGGCCAGUUUUGACACAAUGUCUAAACCCUAAAUUCCACCAUUGGCAACAGAACUUGCAACAAAAAAUGAUAUGUAGCAAGUAUUCUUUCGAUUCAUGCUCAUCUAAAAUUACACAUACAUUACUUCCAUAAACAGAAAAAUCCAAAAUCACUUUGCAUUCCUAUUCAUGCACACAAAUUAGAGAAAGAUAAACAAAUCAUUGAAUGGCGUUAACAAAGUUGGCCAGAGCUCUUCUGGAGGAACCAUGCUCUCCCAGAGCACCUAAAGCAACCUCCCCAAGUUUCAAGCUCCUCUCCCUGAGCUUUCUUCCAUUUUCCGACUCCAUCAACUCCCUAACUCUUCUCUCCACUUCAUCGCCCGUCACGAACCCAUCUUCCUCUCUCUGCUCCACAUCAAUCGCCAUUUUGAUUUCCUUCACCAAAGCACUCCUGUUCAGAUGCUGCUCUGCAUAAAGCGGCCAAGCCACCAUCGGCACCCCGGCCAUCACUGACUCUAGCACCGAGUUCCAACCACAGUGAGUCACAAACCCGCCCACAGCUUCCUUCUUCAGCACCGUCACCUGCGGCGCCCACGACUUCACCACCAGGCCUCUCUCUAUAGUCCUCUCCAAGAAACCCUCCGGCAAAAGAGCAUCCAAAUCGAAGUCCUCCACGCCAUGAAUCUGCUUGGUGUUGUCAACAGGUGGCUUUUUCACCACCCACAAGAACCUCUGAUCGCUUCUCUCCAACCCAUUUGCGAUCUCUCUCACUUGAGCUUCCGAGAAUGAACCCCUGCUUCCGAAACAGAGAUACACCACACUCCGACUCGGCUGCUUAUCGAGCCACAACAAACACUCCUCAUCUGAAUUCACAGAGCCGGAUGCCUUUUCUUUAUCGAGCAAGGGUCCGAUGUAAUAUACAGGAGGAAUUGGAGCAUGAGGGACACAUCGACCUUCAGAGAUGGCCUUAAUCACGGCCGGAGUCUCGAGCUCUUCAAAUGUGUUGGCUAUGAUUCCAUCUGAUAGAGCAAGAUGAGAGCAGAAGUAGACCAGGUCCGAAUAAGCAGGAUCGUUCUGGUCGAGCAUCGGCUCAGGCAUGUGCACAGCACGCAAAGGAGACUCCAAUCCCGGAAACUCAAAAGCAGUGUCUCUCAUAUCCUUGAAACUCUGGUUCACUCGUGCAUGGAUGGUCGGGAAAUACAAGAAAGCCGCAAGAGCUGCCGCGCCGGAAGUGUAGAAGUAGAAAGUGGGAAUGUUGAGCUCCUUGGCUAUGGCCAUUGAGGAGGAGCAGAACAGGUCGAUGAUGAAGGCGCGGACUUGACAAGUUUUGGAGAUUUCUUGUAGGGCAAGACGGACGUUGGGGUCGUUCUGACGGAUGAACUCGAACAUGAGAGCGGCCAUGCUGAGAGUUUGGUUAUGGUGGUUAAUUACGGCGGCGCGUGGGAAACAGUGGAAGGAAAUGGAGGGAUGGGAUUGUGUGAUGCGGUCAAUGUAGGCGGGGAUGGUUGGUGUGUCGACGAGGCUGCCGGUGGUGUAGAGAACGGUGACGGAGAAUUUGUGGGAGUAAUGCUUGAGGAUGAGCUUGCCUAGCUCCACCAUGGAGAUCAUAUGCCCCAUUCCUGGAGCUGCAUAGAGGACUAAGGUGUUAGCUGCCAUUGUACGUACUGUGUCUGAGUAACUCUGAAGCUAGCUAGUUGAGGAUGAUGGUCCUCUCACUCCUCUGUGUAUAUGGUCUUGGUCUAUUUAGUUUGUAGGUGAGAAUUUCUGGUAGGUAAGGCAUAUGGAACACGCGAAGAGACAAGAGACAUCAGAAAGCGAGGUAUCUACGCUGAUUUGUAGGUAGCGAUUUUGUGUAGGUUUGGUUUCAAGUGUAGCCUCUCCAUUCUCUCUAAGUUGUUGCGUAGGCAAAUAGUGAAUCUAUAUAAUGACUUGUGAACCAAUUUAUGAAAAUUAAUCAAAUAACAAGAAUGUGUACCUUACAGUUAGACAUUUUUCGAUUAUGUAGAGAGACAUCAAAUGUGAGCUUAGGAAUGAAAAGUAUCUUCCUAUUACAAAUGACAUACUUCUGUAUAUAGCAUAUAUAUAUAUGAGUGCGGCUAUUGGGACCUCCAAAUUUGCUCACUUGACCCCACUUGAUUAUGAAUUAUUAAAUAACAUAUUUAUCCUCUUACACAAUGACUAUUAAAGACACUAAUUAAACAAAAAGUAAUAUUACAUUUAUUCUCUCUAAACCUUCUAAUUCAAUAAUAAUGGAUUACAUUUUAUUAUUUUCCUUAUUGAUUUUUAUUUUGUAGUUNNNNNNNNNNNNNNNNNNNNCAAACAAAACCUUAAAAUAUUAUUUGAUUUCAAAUUGAAACUUAAAAAGUUUCAUUAAGUUUUUACCUCUUUUCCAUACUUGUCUGAUUAAUUGCACAACCAAAAAACUAUAAUUUUUUUUUUGGACAACUAUAAAAAAAUAUUUUUAGACCCCUUAGAUUUUUGGGCCCUGAGUCGCAAGACUCUUCUAUCUCUAUUCAAAUCCGGGCCUAUAGAAACCUAUCCAUAUAAUGCAUGAUGUUGAGUACUUUAAACGAGUAUGAAUAUAUGUACCUAAUCUAAAUAUGAAUGUGUGAGGCGAGAACUUUUGCUUACACCUCUUCAAAAGCUUGAAGCCUUCAAGCUUUUGAAGUGGCACCGAGGCUUCUGAGGUGGAAUUAAGGUGUAACCUUUUAGCACAUUAUCUUUUACGGUUUGGACUUUGGACUUUCUUUGAUAAAAGAUUAGUGUCUUAGUUUCAAGCUUGAAAGCAUUUGAACAUAUAUUACUAUAUAAAACAUCCUAGCUUAAAUGUCUCUCUCCCUAGCUCUGCUAGGGUUUUACUCGGCAGCGGCAGCAGUCGACAAAACUCUCAAACUGAUCGGCAACGGUGAUUCUCUUUUGACGAGGAAGGUGAUCUCUUCUUCAGUCUCUUUUUCUCCAAUCAAAGGCAGUGAUGGAUGGCUUUAUCGUGCCUUAUAUGGGCGGUGGUGGAUGUCGAGUCCAACUUGUGGUGGUGAUGGCGACUUUGUUCAUCAGAAUCUCCUAAACAAAGGUCUUGGUUGUUCUCUUUUUGUUCAUGCCUUUGGGUUUGAUACAAGAGAGGAAGCAAUACAAGCCGAUCGAAUUGUGGCUUGGGAUGAAAUGGGAACGUUGAAGAGGAUUGGAGCGCUUGGAGGUGGCUUGUUUGGCGACGGUUAGGAGCCCUCAAUUCAAAUCUUUGCGUCUCAGAUCUCGGCAAGAGGCCAUGCACCAGGUAUUCACCAUAUUUCCGCUGUUGGGGAGGAUGGUGGUGCUCUGGCUCUGAUUCCGGAUUUGGUUCUAACGGCGCCGCUGCUAUCUGAUGGUGAUGACGACGGGGAAAAGAUGAAGGUUGCUAGGGUUUCUCUCAAGGCUUCUCUAAAGGCUUCUCUAGGAGUUGGGCUUGGGCUGCAUCAACUAGGGUUUCAUCUGAUUGGGUUCUGGCGGAUGAAUUUGGGCUUUGGCCCCUAAUUUAGAAUGAGUUAUGGUCCAGGUAACUAGUGAUUUUCAUAGAGUCUUGAUAGUUUUCUCCGAAACCUAGUUUCACCUAUAAAAUAAUUGUGCUUAAUCACUAUAAGGUGAGUGUACUUAGGAUCUCAAAGCUUAUCUUUUAUCUAGUAUAGGACUUGCAAUUCUGCAAGACGAUGUUUUCUGAUGACCCUACAAAGGUACAUCGUCUUUGUACUGCUUGCUCUGAUUUAAAUUGUAUGACCUUUUGAUCACAAAAAAAAACAUAUAUUACUAUAUAAUAAAACUUGUUAUGAUCAUCUUUUUUAAUUAUUGAAUUGUUAUGAUAUUCUUCUAAAUAAAUAUAAAAUAAAAUAAAAUAAAAAGUCUUCCACGCUUCGCUUCGCGUGUCUCAGUGCUUGCUACUAUAAUCACGUACUGGUAUGAACGAGUACGUACGGCAUGAGUUAGAGUUGAUCAAUAUUUCAAUGAAUUUGAAUUUUUUUUACGUGAAUUAUUGGGUAUGAUUCUAACAAUUUAAUUUUGUAAUGGAUUAUUGAAAGAUAAGAACCCGUUCAAGUCGAUAUGUUUCCUAUAUUUUAUUUGGUUCAUCUUCUUCAAACAUCUAUAAAAAUAAAAAAAUCCUGGAAGUCCUUAAUCUCCUUGGAAUUUUUAUUCAUACCCCAGCAAUUCUGAAGCCAACCUCAAAGCUAGCUAGCUGAACCUCCGAAGAGCAACAUAAUCUCUGGUAUAUAUUCUUUCUUCUCAUACAGUGUGAUCUGUUUUGUUAAUUUCCUAUACAAGUGUCUAGCUUCUUAAUUUGUUUUUAUCAUUAAUAUAUAUGGGAAUUUUCAUAUACACCCAAUUUUAAAAAAUAGUUUUCAAUAAAACUAAUAUAAUAUUCAUAUCUGAUAGACAUCUAAAAUGUAUCAAUUAUGAUAAAUAUUAUGUCUUAUUUUUUUUAAAUUUUACACAAUUGCCACCAUUCAACUAUAACAUAUCAAUAUAAUAAAUAAGCUUAAUUGAUGUUGUCUACCUUGAUUAUCAGUUUUUCUUUUAACACUAACAUUUUUCAAUCAAUUUACAAGAAUCAUGUAGUUUUCUUUAUUUUUAUGAAAAUAUAUAGAUUAAAAGAAUUCAUUCUCUAAUCUAUACAUAAGGUAAAAUAUAAUAUGAAUAAGAUAUAUGAUCUAAAUCUUAUACCAUAUACCUUAUACCCUAUACCCUAAACCCUAUACCCUAUACCCUAAACCCUAAACCCUAAACCAUACACCCUAAACCCUAAACCUUAAACCCUAAACCCUAUACCCUAUACCCUGAACCUAUACCCUAAACCCUAUAGCUUAACCCUAUACCCUAAACCCAAUUUUGAGUUUCUUCGUUUUAGGUAUAUUAUCAUAUCAUGGCCUAUUUAAUAUGUACAUUAGAAAGGUAAGUAGUAGAGAGUAAAAUGUUCUCUCGAUUAGGAUGAGAAAUGAUAUAAUAAUAUACCUAAAAAGAAGAAAAUUAAUCAAAUAACAAGAAUGUGUACCUUACAGUUAGACAUUUUUCGAUUAUGUAGAGAGACAUCAAAUGUGAGCUUAGGAAUGAAAAGUAUCUUCCUAUUACAAAUGACAUACUUCUGUAUAUAGCAUAUAUAUAUAUGAGUGCGGCUAUUGGGACCUCCAAAUUUGCUCACUUGACCCCACUUGAUUAUGAAUUAUUAAAUAACAUAUUUAUCCUCUUACACAAUGACUAUUAAAGACACUAAUUAAACAAAAAGUAAUAUUACAUUUAUUCUCUCUAAACCUUCUAAUUCAAUAAUAAUGGAUUACAUUUUAUUAUUUUCCUUAUUGAUUUUUAUUUUGUAGUUUUACCACAUACUUAUUAAAGCAUUUAUAUAUUUAUAUUAUCAUACAUGUCACAUGCAUGCAUACACAAAGUAGAAAAAAAUUAUUUUUUAACAAAAAUUAUGAUCUAUCAAUUAUUAAAAUACAAAACUAACAAAAAUAUAAAAUAGUUCAUGUAAGAAUAUUCUUUUGAUGAUUGAUAAAUAAAAUUUGAGACACAAUCCUUCUUUUUUUAAAUUUUUAAAAGAAUAGUAUUCUUUAUGAUUCGAAUUACCUUUUCUCAAAUAUUGAUGUCAUUGAAAAUUAUUUCUUACAAUUUAAUCAAAAAAUGAAUAUCUAGUGACAUUUUAUGCAAAAUAAAAAAUACAAAAAAUAAAGAAAAUCAAGAAAUCAAGGUCGGGAAUGGAGGUUUGCGUUAAAAAAGAAAAAAAAAAUAAAAAUUAAAGAAUGGAAGUCGGGAAUGGAUGUUCGCAUUCAAAAAGAAAAAGAAAAAAAAGAAUUAGAGGUAUAGUGAGUGAAUAAGAGUUGUAAUGAGUAAUAUAUUAAUAUAUAUGUGAAUUACAUAAACAAGACUAUUUUAGGAAUUUGAAAAGAGGUUUAAUGAGCAAAUGUUUGUAUUUAAAAAUAAAACGGAGGUGUAGAGAGAAUGAGAGGUACAUUGAGCAAAUUUGGAGAUCCCAAUAGCCGCACUCUAUAUAUAUACACUCAAGUUAGUAAUAACAAGGUAAGAAAUUAAAGAAUGUAAUUGAUUAUGACGAAGUUAAAUCUAACUAAAUUUUAGCUAGUAUUUGAGUUUCAAAUUGAUGCUAAAAUUGAGAAAUAUACCAAAUUUAGCUUUCUACUGUCUGAAGGGCAAAUUAGAGAAACCGAAAAAUGAAGAAAACUAUUAAUUAUAGACAUUUGCUCUAUAUGGUAUGUUUGCUUAUGUGGAGUGGGUGUAAAAUAAAAAAAAUAAUUUAUGGGUUUAUCUUAAAAGAGGUCUAGCAUUUUGGGUUUUUAUCUAAUUUUCUCCUAAUAUAUAUGAUAUGCUUCUAACUAAUUAUGAUCCAAACAUAUAACGUUGUAUUGAAUUUUUUCAUUAUUAAUUAUUUCCAAAUCAUAGGAUUAUUUGCAGGUUUUGAUCCCUAUACAUAUUUCUACAACAUGGCUUCCUCUUCUACUUCUGGCAUCCACUCCGAAGGAAAGUAUGAUGUCUUUAUCAAUUGCAGAGGCCUCGACACCCGCCGUACUUUUACUUGCCAUCUCCACAAGGCUUUAGUUGAUAACAACAUCAACACCUACAUAGAUUCUAAUCUUGAUAAAGGAGGUGAAAUUGCACCGGCCCUUCUGAAAGCAAUCGAGGAAUCAAAGAUCUAUGUGAUCAUUUUCUCAAAACGGUACGCUUCUUCCGCAUGGUGCUUGGACGAACUUGUGCAUAUUAUGAAAUGCAAGGAAGGAAUUGAUGCAGCACAUGUCAUUCCGAUCUUUUACGACACUAAACCAGCAGACAUACGGUUGCAGAAGGAUGGAUACAAACUUGAAAAAAAAAUCAAAGACAAGAUUGAAACAGAGCGACGACUCAGUUGGAAGGAUGCUUUGUCAAAAGCUUCUAAUUUAUCUGGGUUUCAUUCAACUUCUACCACCUUUAGGUAACUUGAUCUCUGCAAACUUGCCACUAAAUCACUAAUGUCUAGAACUAGUCAAAUGCUAAGUGAGUAGCUUUGAAUUUUCCUAGCUGAUGUGACAUAAUUAUUGAGCAAUUAAACAAUUUAUCUAGUGACAUGUACAUACCAACCAUGAUAUUUUCUGUUUUGUAUAUUAAAUUUACAAUAUUUUUUUAUAAGUUAAAUGAAAGAUUAGAUGAUAUUAGCUCAUCGGACGUGAUGUUAAAUUUAUGAUAUUUUACGUACUUUUUUGUCCUGAUUUUCAAUCCCUUCACAGUAUCCUUUUCUCUCACUUGAGCUUACCAAAAUAUUAAUGAUUUGCCAUUGUCUAUAUGUGCUAGGGAUGAUUCCGAUUUGAUCGAGCUAGUCGUCAAAGCUAUUUCGAAGAAAUUGGUCAGAUGUGCUAAGCCUGAAUCCUCCAUUGAUUCAAUGGGAUUUUCAGAAAGUUUCAUCAAUCAGUUUGCUGAGUUUUUAUCCUUGCUCCAGUUUCUCCCAAGCGAUGAUCGUGUUCGCUCUGCAUUCACAGAUGCAUCUCUCCACUUCUCUUCACCAUUUGACGCAGCUUUUCUCUUUGUAAUAGAGACCAUACAUAACUUGCCCAUCAAAUUUGUUCGUCUAAACCAAACUGAUUCAGGUCAAAUAGUACUUAUUAUGCUAUUGGUAACAAGGGAGCCCUUCUAGCGAGGACUCUUAAGUUGAGGACUUUUCGGCUUAUCCCAUCUUUCGAUCUUAUAUUCACAUCUUGAUCAUUUAGUUUGUAGGUAUUUAUAAGUAGAUCAUUUCUCCAAAUUUUCAGCUAUAUUGAAAAUUGUUAAGGCAUUCGUAAGUGUGAUUUAUCAAUUAUGAAUUUGACCGGUUCAUAUUUGACAAAUUUGGUUCGUCCAUGAAUUUGAUCUAGUUUGUUAUCUUAACGAACACCAAUUUGGCUGAAAAUUUGUAGAAAUGAUCUACUCAUAUAAACCUAAAAACUGAACGGAUGAGAUGUCAAAAUGUGAUCGAAAAAUGGGUUUUUUAAACCAUAAACCGAAAAGUCAUCAACUAGUCCUCAACUUAAGAGUCCUCAACUAGUCCUCAACUUAAAAGUCCUCACUAGAAAGGCUCCCUUAGUAACAAUCCCUUUUACUUUUUUCUAUGUACGCUGCGUAGUUUCUUUGAUACUUUGGGUCUAUAUAUGGAAAAACUUUCACAUCUAUAAAAGCAUGAAGGGCAGGCCCGGAACCAAAUUUGACAACCAUCAAAAUUUGACGGUCAUGAUGACCAACCAAUCAUCUCUCCUUCUCUCUCUCUCUCUCCCUCUCUCUCCCUGUCUCUUCUCUCUCCCUGUUUGUUCUCUCUCUCUCUGACAGUGUUUGAUUGGUUGGUCAUCAUGACCAUCAAAUUUUAAUGGUUGGCAAAUUUAGUUCCGGCAGGUCAUGGGGGUUGCAAGGUGAGGCGGCCACACUGGGUCACCAAUUUUCAAGGUCCUCCGAUCUAUAUAUUUGCGUGUCAUGUAUUGUAUAUUUGUUAGUAGCAAGCUGGGGGAACACAAUCUUUUCCUUGUUUAACGUAUAAUCUCUUGAGUAAAUAAAUUGAAGCUACUUGGUUUUGCCUAAUGAUCGAUUAAGCAAAGGUUUAGUCUAGAAUAUUCUGUGACGUGUGUCUUGAUCUUAUAGGUUAAAAUAGGAUGAUGUAUUCGUUCUUAUACCUAAACGGUACUCUGUUCCCAUAUUAAUAAAUAAUAUACGACUAUACUAUUCUCUUUACUAUUUUCUCUUAAAUUACAUUUAUCUUUCACGUUAUCAUGUAUUUUAUUCUAACAUAAGCUGACGGAGAGACGGAAAAAAACAGUAACAUAAGAAAAAACAACAGAUAAAAACCCAUCGACCCAGAAAAUUGCUCUGGGCACCCACCUUCUCUGAGCGCCGCACUCUGCCGAUCAGCCCACCAGCGACGGCCGCCGAGCCUCAGCCGCAGCCCUACUCCGUUUCAAUUUCCCAGAUCGGCCCUCCACACCAGCAACCAAGCGCUGCCGCUUACCCAAUGCCGCCGCACGCACGAUCCAGCACCCAGCUCGUCGCUGUGCGCCAAACCCGGCAGCGCCGCCCACCCCACGAUCUAUAUACCGAGUAAAAAACUAAACGUGGUUAAUAAGCGAGGUAAGAAUUUAACUACCACAGUAAUUAGUAAAUGACAGUAUGACACCCGAAAGGAAGCGAGUCAAAAGGGGCUGUAUAUAAAGAGAGAGAACCCUAAACGAGUGAGACUGCGCUCAAAAUCUAAUCGCUUUUGUUCCGAAGAUGACGAGCAAAACGGCGGCGUUUAUUUCUGAUCGCAGAAGCGGAUGAGGUAUGGCUUGUCUUCACUCUACGCUUGUUAUUAUGGUGAAAGAUUACUGGGCUAUGAUUGAUUCCCUAUCAUGGAAGCCAGCCAAAUUUACCACCACCCAACUGAACCCUAAAUUUCUGAGAGACCCACCACCCAUAGAUCCCAGAGUCAUUAAUCUUGAGUAUGCCCAGAAGGUGUUCGACGAUUUGCUUCAAAGGCGUUGGGUUAUACGUUUCAGUCAAAUCUUUAUUCAAAUUUUGAAAUUUAAGCAGUAUUCAGCCGUCAUCUCUUUGUUCAAACAAAUCAAUGUACCACACGCCAUGUAAUGAGCCUCCUUGGGAGAUAGGGAGAAUGCAUCAGCAUUCCAAUUUCCCUCACCAGGAUUCCAUUUACUUGAACUCCAGGCCGAAAAGUUGAACCCAAUCACGCAACUCUCGCAAAGUUGGCAUUGAGGAAGUUCGGAUACGAGAAGAGCAAGAAUGAGAGAGAUAUUACUGAUGAGCACCAUGGUGCUUGGUUAAUGGAUGAGUUCACCAUUAACCAUUCACCGAAUUUGAAUUUGGCUUUGUGCUGAAUCAAAGUGAAAAAUGAGGAUGAGACGCGAACAGAGGAGAUCAGAACAGUUACAUGUGUAAGCAACAAGAAUGCACUACUUCACAGCAAAUUCCCUCGACUGUGGACAGUGGGAGAAAGGGAGGUAGCAGUGGCUGGAAGUUGAUAUGGAGGGAAAAUCUGAGCAAUAUGCACAUUCUCUACUCAUGAAGGAGUGAAUCCUGGUGUUACUGAUAGAGACAGAACAUGUUUGCAAGUAAUGGCAACAGGGGAAAAGGAACAAAAAUUAGUGGGAGCAAACCUGGUCUCCAAGAGAUUCUCAUCUACUAUGGGGGCGAUAAUACAAGAACAAGUAUGAAUUGUCAUCGACUCUUGGCAUGGAGUUAAUGAUCCAUCUAGGAACAAUCUUGAGAUGAUGAUUCAAAAGAGAUAUUGAGCCUGAUAUUUUCAUGUUGGAUGGUUACUGCUUGCGAGGAGAAAUUGAGGAGGAGAAAAGUAUUUGAUCUAAUGGUUUGCAAGGGCUCUAUGGUUGAUGCCCGUAGUUAUAAACGGUAUUGUAAGUUGAUGACACCAACAAUUUCAACUUGUUUAGCUCUCAAUUGUAACAACAGGGGAUUCUAUUGCCUCUUGUAUCUUGACUUUGUAUUUGUAUUUGAUUUCUUUUGACUUGUUAUGUAAUCUGAAGUUAAAUGAAAAGAUUUCUUUUACAUGAGUAAAGAACCUAGUAUGUUUCUUAAUUUCAGUAUUUGACAUCUUAUUCUACAAAUGACGAGAUAUGGUUUCAUAUCUUCUUGAUCUGUAAGCUAAACUCUGACUAAUUGUAUUCAACGAAGUUUAAACUGUCAUUGUUUUAGUUCAUUAUGUUUUUACUCAUGUAUGGUGAAAUAAGAGUUUAUCUCUCAUGGGGGAACAACAGUGUGCCAUAACCACAGGAAACAUAUAUCUCUCUAGAGAAGCUUUGGUGGCUAUAAAUCUUGCAGACAUUUUCACUGUCUAAGCCUCUAGGGACUAGGUUGCUGGUUGUUUAUGUUUGAGAAUCCUGACCUGUUUGAUUUCUUGCUGUGGUAUUUCAAGUAAAGCUCUAACUUUUACCCAUUUUCGUUCUUUGUUAGUGUAAUUGAACUGUGUCAAUUUAGAGUCUAUCUGUUAAUUUCUCUUUGCAUUGUUGUUGGUAGUUAAUAGAAGAGAGUAUAUGCUCAGAUUCGAUAGGAAGAAACACUUUAUUCAAGAUUUAUAGUCUGAAAUAUUUCUUGUUUGCGUCUCUAACUAGUCAUUACUACCAGCUAUUCUCUUGAAGCAGGGGCAUUCAUUCUGUUUCUGUUUUCAAGUCUUUUGAAAGGUGGUACCUGAUAAGUGAUGCGGAGGAGAGAACAAACGACAACUUUACACUCCUACUGAUUGUGGCAGUGAGCUACAGUGGAAAAUGCAACCAUGUUGAAAAUGAUGAACCUGCUUCAGAAAAUAAAAGAUGGCAUUAUAGGAAAUCUAAGGGUAAGGUCCGUCCUUUUUUUUUUUUUUUUUUUUUUCCUGCCCGGUUUCAUUUUAGCAGAGGCAGAAAUGCAGUGAUGGACUAAUGGUAUACCUGAUGAGAAAUAUUGACGUACAUCACAUAUUGGGGUAUGUAUUAUGUAUACAACACUGCAUAAUACUCCAAGUGCUUGGAAGUGGAACUUGAUGUACAAAGACUGGUGUAACAUGGUCGGAAGCCUUCUUCUAAUACUUUCGUGUCUGUAUAUUGAUGGUUCAGAUAUUGAUGGUUCAGUUAUACUCGAAAGUAAUCAGGAACUAUGAGCCUGCAUCUCUGGCUCACAGUUUAUGAGAGAAAAUGUAAUUUGAAGAGGAUGUGGUGAGGGUUUAAAUGACUGUGAUUUCUGAAGGCUGAAGCCCUUGUAAGAGGUGGUAAAUGUACUUGUACGUAGCUGGUGGUGUUGGCCAGUUGGGGAUGGCAACAUAUGGAGGAAAGGCUGAUGUAUGUCUAGUUGUGGCGGCAAAUGAUGUUGUGAAUCAACCCCAGGUUGUGGUUUUGGCUACUAACCAUGAGACAAUUGGUGCAUAGCAUACUCCUUAGGCUAUCUGAAUAGCAUACUCCUUCGAAUCAAAUGGGGUUGUCCUUGUAGAAUCUGAUGUGUUCUUUCUUAAAUCAAAUCGGGUUGUCCAUGUACAAUGCCACUACUUAGAGGACAUGCAUAAUUUAUCUUUGCCAUUAUGUAAUCAACUGAUUUUCUUUGCUUGUUGUCAUGGAAGGUAUGUCCUCGACAAAUCUACUUAACUUCAUAUUCUUAAUACAAUUUACUUCAUGCAUGCAUAUGUUUCAUAGCAUCUACAAGUAUAAACAUAAGCAUGUUCCGACAAGCAAGUCUUCCAUGACCAACAGAGGGAACACUGCCAUGUUUUUCAGAGGCAGCAACACAAUCAUUAAAGAUCCAUUCCAGGAUUUAGGGGAAACAACAGUAGUAUCCAUGAAUAUAUAGAUGAGUAUAAACAACAGUAGUAUCCAUUCCAGUAAUAUUUCUGAUAAAAGGUGCCAACUGCUCUCAAUUUGGCUCCAUGAGAAUCACAAAGAAUACAAAUAUUUGCAAACGCAUCACGAAACUCCCGCCUUCAUGAUAUAUUGGAAAAUGUGAUUUAAUUUGUUACAAAAGUGCUAAAAUUUAUUAAUUUCUAGUGUUUUAAAAGCUGCUGCCAGUGACCCGUAAUUUUAAAAAAAAAAAAACAAAAAUGAUCAACAACUUACAAGUGACGGGUUUCGAAAUUAAGACCUCUUCUCUUUGGUGAUAAUCAUAGACACCAACCAUUAGGCCAGAUGCUCUCUUUGUAACAAAAGCUACAGAAGUUUAGAAAAUAUAUUUAACCAUUCUUAAAAAAAUAUUAAUGUUAUUAAUACACCUUUUUUUUUUUUUGGUUCAAGUUAUUAAUACACCUUCAUUCGGAUCAGAUCCGCUCGUCCCCAUUCUAAAAAAAUAUAAAUAUCUGCUCGUCUCUUCUCUUUCUAUUCACUUUCAUCUUCCUCUCCCUGCCACCAAACAAAGCCAACGCAUCACCUCUCCCGGUGCUCCGACGACGUCUCCCUCAACGGAAAUUUCAGUACCCAGGACGCAGUAGGCUACACAGGACGCGGGUAUGAAUCUUGUUUUUCAUUUCCUGGAACUUAAUAUUGUUCUUGGUUGUUUCUUAGGUUAAUCUUUGAGACAGGUUGAUCUCCCUCCCUACUAUGGAACUUGUUUCUUCUUUAAUAAAAUUUUUAUCAAACCAAAAAACUAAAGAAGUUUUACUUUUGGGUGGUUGAGAUAUCUGUUAUUGAAGAUUUUGUGUCGUUUGUUUCUUUCUUCCUUACAUAGUAACUCUGUCUCUCUCUAAUGCUUUAGGAAAGAUGAAGAGCCAAGGCAGUUAUGCACCACCGACUUAUAUUCCCUUGGGCCAAUCAGAUUCUGGAUCAGCUCUUGUUUUAGGCAAUGAAGACCCUCCGAAGCAGAAAAACAGUGUCGAUGGGCCGAUACAAUGGUCUUCUGGAAUUUGCGCAUGUUGUGAUGAUACGCAGAGCUGUACGCUACUUUCUGCCUUCUGACCUUGAUUUAUCACAAGGUGCCUCUUGAUUAGGGAAACAAGAAUUGUCAUACUUUCACAUUUAGAAUGGCUUCAUAGAAAGGCUAGCUAGAGGAUGAUUUUGGUUGUUUAACUAACCAUAUGAUGCGAUACUCGCAGCUCUUAUUCUAUAUUUGGAGUUUGUUGUUGGUAGUCCAUCCCUUUGAACUAGAAACCAAUGCAUUUUCUGAAUUAGUAUGCAGUUAACUGCACUAUACCAUGGUAUACAAACCCUUGAGGAAAACAGGCAAAACUAAAACAGUCUCAUGGUGAAGAAAAUUAAAGACAGUAGAAAGGAAAAAAAAAGAAAGACAGUUUUAACAGGUUUCUUAGUUGAUAUUACAUAAUAAUGAUGUUCCAUAUAUGUGUUCCACGUUCACAUCAAGGUACUGAAGUUCAGAAACUAGGCGCGCUGGUUGUUACUUGGAUUUUGUGUACUGAGCUGCUAUCUUGAGUUGCUUUUGAUUGGAUUUGGUUUUGUUGAGUGUAGUAUAAACUGCAUAGUUGGGCUAUUAACAUGAUGGAUAAGUUAAUUUGUUAUUGUAUCACAUUGUAAAUGGUUUUUAGUAUCCAGGUUUACUUGUUCCGAAGAUCGAUAGAUUAGGCUAAAUGUUGUACUAGCUUUAAAUAGUUUCAUGUAUCAAGUUUGUAAUUGCUCUUGUCCUUGAUUUUUACAAUAGUCAUAGAUUUCUCUCACCUACCAACAAAGUGGUCACAAUAAAGUAAUAAAAGAAAUAAGUGCAUCUGUUUAUUCAUGCUUUUUCAGAAUAGCAAUUGCUUGAGUUUCCCAGGAUAAGUUUUGAUAAGUAGAUCAAGUUGAAUAAGAUUGACUCAUUAAGAAUUUGAAAUAUGAUUAUGAGGAAAUAAUGAGGUAAACCAUUGGCUCCUGGUAAAAUAGUGUAUACUACUAGUGGUCAUUAUCAUUCAUUGAGCUUUUAAGACAUUGUGAAAUCUAAUUAGAAGGCUUAAAUAGAUGGUUUUUUUCCCUUCACUUCAUCAUGUAUAGAAUAUGAAAUUUAUGUUCAUCAGUAAACCUUGUAGGGAAACAAGAGUAGGUGUAGUAUAAUGAAAACUUGCCAUUUGUUCUUUAUAGAAUUUCAAUAAGCUCUAAUACCUAAAAGCUACGUAUCAAUUUUUGUCACUUGUCAGUUACACAAACAUGUGCCUGCAAUUGCUGCCAUCAUGUUUUCAGCUUGUGAUACUCCAACCAUUAUCAUCUAAAUGCAAGUUUUCAUUUACUUUUUCAGGUUGUAUAGGUUUAUUUUGCCCAUGCUAUCUGUUUGGAAAGAAUGCAGAGUUUUUGGGCUCUGGAACAUUAAUGGGCUCCUGUACGACUCAUUUUAUUCUGUGGGCACUUGUUAAUAGCGUCUGCUGCUUAUUAACUGAUGGUGUUCUUUUGGGUAUACCGGGAUGCUUUGUUGCAUGUUAUGCUUGUGGCUACCGCAGGGCCCUAAGAGCAAAAUAUAACCUCCAGGUAUACUAAUAUUGUGGUAUAUUUGCUUUUAAAUUUUUGUUAUUAGUGCUAAUAUAUAUAUAUAUAUAUAUAUUAUUUUUUUUUUUCUAAUCAAGUAUAAGAGUUUCGUUGCAGAAAAUGAUUAUGAAAGAUCUGACUUUAGCGAUUUGUAUGGAGAAUCCUGAUAUAUUUUUGAAUUGUAAUCAGCCUACUAGGAAGGGAGUUCUGUGAGAGAAUAUAGCUUCAUAUGUAGCAGGAGGAAUCGUUAUUUUGAUAAUUAGUUCACUUGGGAGGGAAGAAUGGUCAUAUAUUGCUGAUAAAUCUGUUAACCAACUGCUGUUCUUGUGGGCUCACCUUUUCUUUUGUGUGAUUUUGUAGGAAGCACCAUGUGAAGAUUUCAUUACUCAUUUUUUCUGCCAUCUCUGUGCAAUUUGCCAAGAGUACAGGGAGAUCCGUGAAAAAUCUGCUGAAUCUGGCCCUGGUGAUCUAAAUGUAGCCAUAGUUACAGCCCCAGCAGUCCAGACAAUGGAACCUGCGGUUGACAAGUAAUGUCUCAGUUUUAGUACCUCUUCCAGGUGCAGGAUCAGCCUCUGCUUUCAGUAAUGAUCUUCACGCCCUUUUAUGGAUAUUGUUAGUGAGCCCGAAAAACUCUUAAUACUAGUUAUCUUUUGAACUUUGGUGUGUAUGAGGGUAGCUCUUAGCAGCAUCAGUCUAGUGUUUUCUUUGCUGGUUGUGCUUAAACCUGCAGCCUUGCAACAGCUCCAUAUGAAGUAGAGGAUUAGCUUUAUCAUACGACAGAAAUAAAAAUUAAAAAAAGGAAAAAAAGGAGAAGUAGCGUCAACAAGAAAAGCGAAUUAAGGUAAAACAUCAUCAAUGUAUUACUGAGAUAUCUCUAACUGUAUGAGAUCAUAUAUAAAGUUGUAACUUGUAAGUAUAACCUUAGUCUAUCUGAAUAGCCUAGUCCUAAUCAAACGGGGUUAUCCAUGUAUAAUCUGAUGUGUUAUUAAAUCUAGUUCUUGUUGUUCAACACUAGCUCUUGUGAUUAUAGCUCAAGAUAUUGAACAUUUGGUGAUAGCAAAUUAGCAAUUGAUUGAUUAAUGAGUAAUUUCAACAAAACAAUUUUCAUUCAACAAUGGAUCACACAAUCGGUUACAAGUAUAACAUUAAGUGUUUUAGCAUUUAGGGACCCUGGGUCCCUGACGAUCAAUCCAGCAGGUUUGCAAGGAGGGUCUAAUUUAGCUAUUGCAUACUGAUAUAAAAGUAAGUCCCCUAACCGAUAUUGGUAAACCAAUCUGAAUGAGAGGUCAGUCGUCUUACAAUUUUUAGCUUUUCCCACCACCACCACUUGAAACUAGUUGGGAUGGAUUCUACUUGUGGCUAUCAGAUUAGUUUUUCACACAAUUUGAUCAUGAACACUAGGUAAGAUACAAUCUCCACAAGGAACUUCCUCUUCAAUUUUCUCACCAAAACCGCCCGUUUCAAGGGAAAACGGUAAAGGUGUGAGUACUCACACAAUCUAACAAAGAUGGAUAGCCGUUGUGGUAUGCACCCUGGUCUAUACUCUAGUGAUGCAAUUUAAGACAACAUCCGUGAUGAUGCAACAUCGUUCCAGGCCAAGUUUGGCAUCAGAACUUUUCACCUAUAAAAUCAAAUGAAGCAACCUCCUAAACACUCACAGAAGAGCUUCAUUUGCUUCUUUCAGACUAAUAGACGGUAAUUACUCAAAACCCUUCAAAUUGAGAGUCUAAAGUAUAACUAGUUUCCUACUUGCUUGGUUGAUGGGGUACGUUCUUAUAGUAAUGGAGAAGAAGCAACAAGUAGAGUGGGCUGAAGCUCAGAAGAUUGUGCUAAGCAUAGACCUGGUGGCUGAAGCCAAGCAACAGCUGCAAUUUCUAGCAGUUGUUGAUCGUAAUCGAAAACUCCAUGAAGGCCCUGCUUUGUUCAAGGCCAUUUACAGGUACGCAAGUUAACAGGAGGCUUCCUUGCUCAUCACAUUUGGACUUGCUUUUAUCAGUUUUCCUCAGCGCAACUGCGCAUCUGCUAAAACUUUUUCUGCAACCAUUUUGGCUUACUUAUUCUGCCAAGUUCAGGUACAAAUAUUGUUGGCUUCCCUUGCUUGCCAAACGUAUUGAAUCUGAGGUUACAGAAGCUCCACUGGUUGUGCCUCUUGAUUGUGAAUGGAUUUGGCAUUGUCACAGGCUCAAUCCGGUAGACUUCUCAGAUAAAAUCUCACUCAACCUUUCUGUAUUUUAGUGUGAGGUCUACACAUUAGGUCACAAUUACCAAGCUACAUUACUUUGCUGGAUUUUCAGGUGUGUUAUGUAGCUGAUUGUGAAACUCUCUACGGGAGAAUCCUUGACAACCAGAAUGUUGUAUCCUCCAUUUGGGGAACUUGCAGAAAGCAAACUGAACAAAUCUGGAACAAGUUAUAUCCCCAUGAGCCAUAUGAAGUUCAAAACAACAGCAUCUUCUCAGAUGACACUUCCCUGGAUAUUCACAAAGUUUCAGAAAGCACCAAGUAUGAUCUAGUUUCUGCUGUCAAAAGACAAAUUUCUUUGUUCCAUCAGGUAACAAAACACAAAAAUACCCUAUGCUGCGGUUUCAAAGACCUUAAAUGUGCGUGUCACAUUCAUAACAUGUACAACAAUCCAACAGGUAUCCGGAGCUUAUGUGAAAAACGACAUUUUUCUCAAGGAAGCUGUAGCCAGAUACAAAGGGUUUCUGCAUUUGAUCAAGAGAAACAGGCAGUUGUCAGUUAAGCGCUUCUGUGUUCCGACUUAUGACAUUGACCUCAUCUGGCAUUCUCACCAACUGUAUCCUGCUGCCUACUGCAAAGAUCUUAAGACAAUAUUAGGCAAGGUCUUACAGCAUGAUGACACAGAUUCUGACCGAACCAAGGGUAACAAGCUAGAUGUUGCGUUUUCUGGGACCACCAAACAAUGGGAAGAAACAUUUGGUUCAAGGUACUGGAGAGCUGGAGCAAUGUACCGAGGCAGCACUCCAUCUCCCCUCACCAUCAAUCUCAGCCAACUAGAAAUACCAAAAAACAAAGGAGUUGUACCUGACUCAUACAGGAAUGUUAUUCAGCUUCCAAAGAGAAUGCUUGUAGAGGUAAAUUCCAAUGUCUCCUGCCACAUCUGUUUUAAAUUUGCUUGCACUGAAAGAUAAACUCUCAAGAUUUUUUGCUUCCUGAUUCUAAUUCAGGUUAUGCUGGAAAUAGUUGCGGUGAGAAACUUUCCAACCGAGCAUAAAGGUAGCCUCUUUGUCUCUAUUAGCAAGAAACAGCCAGACCUGUUCUUCAGUACCAGGAGAAGGAUAGACUUUUCUUCUGACUCUACAGAGAUUGCUGUCUUUCAAUGCCAACCUACCGGAGAGCUUCUGUUCGAGCUUAUGUCAUGUUCCUCUUCAGUACUUCCCACAUCAAAGUCUCCUAUACUACUGGGAACAUCUGCAAUUACUCUAGACGACCUCUUCAAGUCACUUUCUAAACUGCAAGCGGAGAAGUGGUUAGAGUUCAUGCCAAAUACCAGUGUCCUGGGUUCAAAUCGCAUCAGCCUGCGCAUUGCUUUCUCUUGGACCACUCCAAUUCCAUCACCAUACAGACUGCACAUGGUUCUAACACAUUCGUCGAAGUCUUGUUUCUUUUCACUCUCUGGAAGGUUUCAAAAUGCUAAACACUGGGCAUGCGUGAUGCAUGAGGCUGAAAGUGAACUCAUGAGCAUUCAAAUGAGGUAACCUUGCAUACAAACGUUAACUUCCAAUACGAGCAUCACUUGCAGAACCUUGAAGUUUUAUGAACUCGGGUGUAAAAUACAGUUAUACACUGCUGCAUUCAGUUUUCUGUAUGUUUGAUGUGAUCACAGGGAGUUGAUAGUUGAAACAAGUGACAAUUGUCUUCCCAAAAAGGAAGUGAUAGGGACAACUCCACAAGGUGAAUCCCAUAUGCUGGCUGAAUUUGUUGGAACUGGAUGGUCUUUGAUGAAUGGUGACUGGUUCUUUCGUUUGCCAAAUAAGCUCGAUGAAGAAGACCACAUCUUCGAAAUUGUAGGUAACCGAAAGGUGAGCUUCUUCUGAAAAGUGUACCUGGACUAAAGUUCAUAUGUGCAGUGAAUCAUCAACUGUCAAGUAUUUUCAUGGUCCAGGUAAUCAUCCUUCCUGGAAGAAAACUUGAGUAUGAAACCAGAAGCCGCUCCAAGCAGGAAACUGAACAGAACUUCUUGACAGCUAUCGAAAUCUCCCCGGAGUAUCCCUAUGGAAAAGCUGUGGCUUUGGUCAAUGUGAAAUCGGGAUUCCUAGAGGUAAUGGCCCUUGUUUGUUCUAAUACAAUGAUCUGAGGAAAAAGAUGAUUCUAGCUUAUUUUUGUUUUAUACACAGAUCAAGGAAGAGUGGCUAUUAUUGCCUUGGAUCACAUCAGCUUUCAUACUUUCGGAUGUUUCAUCGUCAGGUGAGGGCUAUGAUCGUUUCACUGCUACCAGUGGAGAGAAGCAAUCAGAAUUUGUGGCGACUUAUCCAGCAGAAGAUGUCGACAUUAAGCACAAUGAAAAAGGAAAAAGAGCCAACUUGUUCCCUGCCUCGGAAAGAACGAGAGUUCAGGGGGAUGAUGAGUGUUCAAACGAAUGGGAAACCGUGCAUGCCUCCUGUGUCGACCCAUAUGUAGACGGCUUUAGCCAGUGCUGUGCCUCCUGUGUCGACCCUUAUGAAGUUGGCUUUAGCCAGUGCUGUGCCUCCUGUGUCGACAGUUAUGCUAAAAGUAAAAGGUAGCCAUUGCGGAGUAAGAUGUGGCAGUGGUGGCAAUUGCCGGGGUGGUCAGCGUGCGGAAGGCGUGGUUCUGGUUGCAGUAGCAAAUGAUUUAUCUAUGCUAUCACAACUUAUGGUUUGGACAAUAAAUAAUGCACUUGGUGCAAACGACCAAAGUUUCUGAAUUUGAUCAUGGCCUGUCUCAAUGAGCUACUGCUUUUCAUAUCAUAUGCAGGGCUUCUCCACGUAGGAGAGGUCCAAAUUCUCUUGUGUUUUCUGAAUAGAUAUUAUUGAGACACCUAAACAAUCUCAUAGAUACCCGCCACCCCCUCCCCUUCCUCUCUUUAUCAUAUCUGGGGUUAGACCUUAGAAGCAACCUAUAUGGCUACUACGCUAACACGAUGGUGAACUUGGCUUUGGUGAAAUCAUUGAAAGACCAUGAUGACACCACUGAUCUCGGCAACCUGAGGAAAUUAUUCCUUCAGGGAAUCAUUCCGAUUGAUGUGGCGCUUGAAGGGAAACCACAAGCACCCAGGAAAGGGUAACCUAACGUUCACCGGGAAGGUCAUUGUGCAGUCAAAUGUGGGGGUCCUUGGGCAUUUCAAAAGGCUUUAGUAGUCACUUAAUAAACUGUCUAACCUGGGGAUGGUGACCAGAAAAAAAAUAAAAGAAUCUUAUUCCCAAACUAAGCACAAAUCUAUUAUAUAAAAUACAAACAUUAGAGGGAAACAAUUACGGUACAAUAACCAAUCAAUACACCAAAAGUAGACAACUUCUAUACAACACCAACUCCAUACACUCAUACACCAGCUCGAAAUCACAUUCAAGCACCAAUGCAUGGUGCACGCACCUCUGCAUCGAGCUGGUCUUCUACAAGCAUUAACACAUUAAUGAAACAGAAGCAAAACCCCAUAUAGAAGUGGCAGUGAGUGAGAGUAACAGUGAGUUAUAUAAAUAGAAUAGGAAGACUGGUCCCUAUCAAAACAUGCUUUUGAUGAAAGAGACAAUCUUCAUGAAAUAGAAAAGGUUAUAGCAACACCUGCAAAGCCUUUUAUCAUGCUUGAGACAUGAUUUCUUGUUUAAUAAUUUUAUCCAUAGAUGUCUGAACGAAUGUUCGGUAGAAGGCACAAUAAGUUGAAAACUACAACUUCUGGGAAGAAGGAAAGAAAUAGAUUUAGGCAAUAUUAUACAAAGUUUUCCAAAAGUGCAUUCUGUCGCUGGGACAAUAUGGGACAGAGCAAGAAGUUCAAUUAAAAAAGUAUUAGCAACCUCAUGAAUAGCUUUUUCAUUUUCCUCUGUAACAAUCUAUAUGUACACUAUUAUUGAAGAUAAAUUUUCGGACCAUAUUUAGGAUCUAUAACCACAUAGUAGACCAAUUCAAGAUCACAUUCACUCAACUUCCCUCAUCCCCCCCAACCCACACACACACACACUCAUUCAUCAAGUGUGAAAACAAAAAACUAAACUUUGUCAACUAUAUAGCAUGUGCUGCCGCUGUAUGACAAAUGAACAUGAAAUGAACACCCAGGCACUGCUGACUAAAUAAUUAGCUAAACUAAGUGACGAAUCUUGUAUUGCUGAAUCCUAUAAUAAUCAUGAUCAAAUCAAAUCCAGCACAUCUAUGCAGUUAACUAUCAUUUCGGUCAGCUCUGAAUCUGUGAUGUCAUACUUCUCUCCCUCUUUUGACCAUAAGAGAAAUACAAGGCUAAUUAGAUGUAAUCUAAGGAACUAAUAAACAUUAAACAACCCUAACUGAUAUAUACAUCUGGGAAUGGAAAAUCGAAAGUAACCCAACAGGUGAUAGAACAAAACUCACCAUUGAUGUUAAGGGUAAGUAAGAUUAUAUCAAUUUAAGGAAACAAAGGAAACCCUGAUCACAAAUUUUAAACUAGGGCAGCCCACUUCCAAAUUAGUGCUAUUAGCACAUGAUCUAUCCAAUGACUUGAACAUUAUAAGCUUCCUAUAGAAGUAUUUGAUGCAAUGUAUUUAAUCAUGCUUUACAUAUAUUGGCCUGAAGGUUUGAACAUAAGGACAUUCCAGUUGGGAUAAAAUUUAGUUUACUUUGAAUAAAUAAAUAAUUAAGCAAGAGGGAUGAUAGGGUGAUUAAGAACCCACCCUUCUUCUGCAGAGAUGGUCACAGUUUCUUACUGUAGCCCUCAUGCUCUUCACCUAGCCCCUAAAAAGAGAGAACAAAAAAGAGAUGAAAAGCAAUCCAAUAAAAUUGGAAGGAUUAGCAUGACCCUAAAGCAAGGAUGACACCAUGAAAAUCACAAAUGACAAGAGGCUUUCAUUUCUCAUUGUCUUCAUAUAUAUGUCUAGGAAUAUGCUCAGAACAAGAAAGAUCCUUGAGAUUGUUAUGCUUUUCCUUGUGCUUAGCACAAUAAUUCUAAAGAUUGCCAAUUUUCUUCUAUUUGAUGCAUGACCUACUUUUAGACGCCUUCCAUACGCAUACUUGACAGGAAAAAUACGAAAAGAAAUAGUGCAAACUGUCCGCUUAUACAUCAGGAAAAUUCUGGAUGCAGACACCAAUAAGCAAUAAACAAAUUGUUUAUGCCCGUGUUGCACAUUAAAAUCAAUAAAAUAGUCUUAGUUUACAAUGAAUAUAAUAGUCCACUUGGAUAGCUAUGGCAGAAAGAAUCAUGUGAUAAUCUAAACAAAUCCAGGCUGGAAACAACUUAAAGCCUAAUCACCUACAAUUAUUAAUCAAUAUACUGUGUGAAUUGCUGCACUUUGAUUGCAACUGAGCUUUCAUCAAAAUUUAAAAGAAAAAAAAAACCUUGAGCAUUCUUCUUGCAUAAUAUUCAUUAUUAACAGGUGCCAAAACUACAAGUGCAAGCCUUUGUAUAAUGAUAGUUGUUUCCAUGCAGAUCCCAAAACAUGGAGCACAAUUGAACUAUGACCAUUCAACCCUAAUAACAGUUAAAUAUUGCAAUUUUCUAAAUCUCUGUUCCUGUCACCGCCUACAUGUUACCUCAAGUUUAAUAUCAAUUGUGAUCUGUUGGUUUUUACACUACUUCAAAUUGAAGACCAACGAAACAAAAGAGAGCAAAUUAUGUACCCACAAACAAGUUUUCAUAUACACAAGAAACAAUGUCAAUUGUCACAACCAAAAACAUUUCCAUAUUCAAAACGAACAACAUCCAAACUACCCUAAAUAAACAAAUGCUUGAUUCGUUUUAUUUGACUCAAAACCAUAUCAGGAGUAAAAUUAAGAUACUAAAGGCAAUAAAUAAAAUGCAUUUAUGUAAUUUACUAUUUGUCAUAUAGCAGAUGCUUGCGCAGCCAUGGAGACAACAACCUUACCGUCUUGAAUUUGAUUCAAAGCACCACCGGCGCCACCUUGUCUUGCGUCAACAGCAACAGGCACUGGCGCCACAUUCUGGUAGGAUGAAGCCACGGCGCCUCCAGCUGUGGUGUAGUACACUUGCCUCCCAGCAUUGUCAUAACCCACUUGUGCAAACCCUUCACUGUAAGCAGCCACCUUUGCUUGCUGCUGCUGCUGCUGUUGUUGCUGCUGAGCAGCAACUGCCGUAUUGUAUACCUGAGCGUCACGGUACAUCUCCGGAACCAUUCUCUGCGGCACACCAUAGUAUGCCUGCCCGACUGGUCCAGUGGCCGGUCUAUGAGCCGGAUUAGCCUGGUAUACACCACCACCUGGUGUGGAAAUGAGGUACACAGGCUGCUGCUCACCUGCACCGGGAGCCGCCGCCACCUGAUAACUUCCGGUGUUCAUGUGCCUUUCUGGCAGAUAAGCAGUAGGAUACUGCAUGUGUGCCGGCAUUGGAACCGGAGCGGCUCCGGGCGCCGGAGCAAUGUUUUCUGGAAGCUUCUGAGUGUAGUAAUCGGGUGCGUAAGCCCCCCGAGGAUUCGGAAGCUGCUCGUCGGUUUUUCUCUGAUAGAGAGUCGGCUCGUGACCGGCGGCAAUUUGCAUUCUGUGAAGCUCCUGAAUCUGCCUCUGGAUCUCCAAUUGAGACAGCGCCGGUUCGGAGACCAAUUCAGGUCCGCCGGCAGCCAGAGUGUUCUUCACAAGCGAAUCAGGAACAGUCGGAGGAGCGACGGAAUCAGGCAAUUUCGCAACCGGAACGGCGGCGAAUCCUUUAUCGAAUCCGAACAGGAAAUCGGGGUUGGUGGAGGAGGCGGAGACCGGAGCGGUGGGAGAGGAGCCUUCCGGGGACUGGAUCUGAACGGAAUUCAAGGCGUCGACGAACCACUGGCGCUCGGACUUGGACUCGUUGGAGUCGAAGCUGGUCGGCGCCGGCGGAGAAUUGAUCGGAAAAAGAAAGAGGCGGAGACGCGCGGGCUUGGCGGAGGCGCGGUAGAGGCGGUCGUACUCGAUCAUCAUGUGGUCGAGGUCCUCGUCGUUGGUGACGGAGAUGAGGGCGUCGAGAUCCUCGCCGGGGAGCUGGUACUUGAAGCAGAGAGGGGAGUCGGGGGAGUCGGAGAGAGAGGAGAGCUUGGAAAUGAAGGCGGAGAGCUUGAUGUUGCGAUCGACGGCGAGGAUUUUGGUGUCGCCGCCGACGUAGGCGAGCUGGUUGUCGUGGGGGCGGGGCUGGAUUUUGCCGCCGUAGCUGCACAUGAGCUUGACCUUGUAGGAGGAGGCGGCGGAGGACGGCGGAGGCUGGUCGUCCCAGGAGGGAGUGUCGCAGUCGAUUUCACGGGAGCGUGGGGAGGACUCGCGGGAGUCCGGGUAGGAGUGGUUGGAGUAGUUCUCCAUUGUUUGAGAGAGAGAGAGCUCCGGACAGAGAGAAUAGUGAGGGGCUGCUUCUUUACGGGGUUGGAGUCAUUGAAAAAAAACAAAAACAAAAAAAAGUAGAGAAGCGUGAACCGUGUGAUGGAUUCCUCGAUUCGGUGGAUUGCUGAUUUUAGUAAAAAAAAAAAAAAAAAACAACAAAAUAUUCACUGUUUUUGACUCGUUAAUCACUUUACUCACUCACAUUCAAAAAUAUCACUUAACUCAUUUACUUUUGACUUUGUCUCUAACUUAACUCACUGUUGAGAGCCGUUAAUGACACGACCCACCCCGAAUUUUACCUUAAAACCCGAAGUAAGUCGUGCGGGGACCACCUCCAAGAAAGAUAUUACCGAAAAUUCGGCAUAACCUCCCUUGAAAAUGGACAACCCUUCUUAAAGAAAACCUGCAAACACUCCUAAAAAAAUUCAAUCCCACCUUAACUCCUAGAGCUUACGUGCUCCCCAAAUAUAACCACCACCAACAACAACACAACAUUAUCCAAACAUCAAAUAUAAUUAUCCAAAUAAUAUAAUAUAAAUCCUCCGACAAAUAUUCUAAAAUGUUAACAUGCCUUUACUCACAACCGAAAUAAUAUACAUUAAACCCAAGUAUUCAGAGCUACUAGACACUAGCGGAAGUAAGAAAACACUGGUAGGUUAAACAGGUAACCUACGGAUGAAAAGUGGUGGAAAUCGGGUGACUAUGCCUCGUCUCCUACUAGGUCCAACCCGUACUCUGCAGACUGGGCAUUUUAAAACGAAAGGCCCAGAGGAAAACAUUUAAUAACGUUAGAGUGAGUGGACAAAAAUAAAUUAAUAAAAAUAUUUAUGCAUCCCCAUUUUAAUUUCCAAAGAAAAUAUACUGCAUGCGGCAGCUCAAAAGCGCUCAACUCAUAAACUGGCAAUUUCACGACUAGCUCCGACUAGUCACCAACUUAAAUAAAAUGGAGUCUCUCAGGCUAAAUUAUAUAUAAUCAUAUGUUCCUAUGUAUUUACACUCGUCAGACUCCUUGUAUGAAUCCUAGAAACAAUUUAGAAAAAUAGAAAUUCAUACAAGGCUAUAACACUGGCGUCUAACGCUCACGUUGCGCCAUAAUGGUAUUUUUCCUCAUUAUGACCGAAGAGGACCGUGUAUUUAUAUACGCGUGGACUCCCUAUAUGAAAACCUAAAUAAACCAGAAAAAAAAGUAGUUUUCAUAUAGGGCUAUGACGCUAGUGUCUAACACUCACGUCACGCCAUAAUGGCAUUUUACCUCAUUAUGACGGACCAAGCACGUAUGGCUAGCUAGCAUUUAUAUACAUACUAUACUCAUAAUAUCCAUAAACAUAUCCACCGAAAAUCUCAUUUUCGGCAUCUCUCCAAAGGAGGAAAAUUACCAAAUAUCCGAGAAAGAAAAUAAAUCUCAGGAAAAGAAAUAAAUGAUCAACAAAUUAAUUCAUCGCAUGCUUUUCAAUUUAACACAAAUGUCCACUCACAAAUUAGGCCUAAGCCUGAUGACGCUCCGAAGCUUCCUCUGCUCAGGCCUCCUCUCGUCCUGUUCCAAAUAUAUAAUUAAUUUCCCACAAAAAAUCCAAUAAUUAAACACAAUGGGCAAAAUUAAACGUGAGCCUCCCACACACUCAUCAUUGCCCAACUUCGCCAUUCCUAACUCAUAAUGGCUCAAACUUCACCGAACAUACCGGUAGCCCUAAUUACAACUUUCCACAGAUUAAUGGCUUAAAUCCUUCGGCCGGAUUCUACAUUAAUCAACCGCCAAAAAUACCACACUUCGGAAAAUCAUAAACCUAUCCAAAACUCAUCCAAAAAUUCCAUAAUUCACUUCAAUAAACUCCCCUUAAUAUUCUAAAUUUAAAAACAUUAAAAUCUCCCAACCGGCGCCGGCGCCAACCCCGCCGGCAGCGGUGGCCGGAGGCCGAUUCCGACGACCUCCAAUUCCUAUGAAAUUUUGACAGAGUAAUCCUCUCUUCAUGCUCUACAACUUUUCUAACUAGCACAAAUCCAAAAUCCAAGCCUAGCUAUGCCAAUCGAGCAAAAACAUCCAAAUCACCCUAGAACUUCCACCUCAAAUUUCUCCUUACCUGAAGUGAACCGGAGUGAGUCCUUUUAGGGCAAGGCAGCUGGGUUAGAGACCUACAAAACCGUACCAAGCUUGCCCGGAUUGGUGGCCGGAGGAGGGAGUUCCGGCGAUGGAGGACUUUGGGCAGCCCGAGGUUCUAAGCGAGAGAACUCCUUCACGGCGGCGCUAGGGUGGCUGUCACCGGUCCAGGGAUGUAGCUGGGUCGGAGGGCAACCGAACGGGACCGGUGCGGCAGUCCCAGGCGGCUGGACGGCGGCGGACGAGCGGCCGGAAUGACUAGCAGCAGGAGGGACUCGGGGAGAGAGAGAACCGGGAGGAAGAGAGAAGAAAGAGAGAAGAAAGAAAUGCUUUGGGCCUCCACACCCGGUCCAAGUCCAAAAAUAUACCUAACUCCACCAAAAAUUUACACCCCAAAAUAAUACCCUAAUAAAAAUUACCUUUUACUAGCUAAAAUUUACCAUUUUUACCGUCGUCAUAAUUUUCUCCUACAAAAAACUCUCCGAAAUAAUCGUCCCCCAAAACCCCUCUAGGGACCAAUUAAAUUAUAACCUCAAUGACGAAGACGGUAAAAUUCUUAUUAUAACCAAGCUAGUAAAUAAGGUAAAAAUUUAAGGGUCGGGAUGUGACAGUUAACAUCGAGGGUAUAUAUGUCUGAACACAAAAAAAGAAGUGUGGUGCUAUUAUUACCCUUUUUUGCCAUUAACACACUUCAUCUAUGAUGAUAGUCAAUCAUAAAACAAUUUCAAGUGGCAAGGUUGUAAAUAAAAUUAAAAUGUGUGGAUGAGAAAAUAGAUGAGGUGUGUUAAUAGCAUCACCUAAAAAGAAUUCUCAAUUAGUUUUUUUUUAAAUGUUGUUUCUUCAUCAGAUUUUAAUUCUAUGACAUUUUUUUGUAUUAGAAAUUGCUGAAUUUGUUUUUAAAAAAGUUGAAAAUAAUUUAAUAAUUUUCAAAUAAGAAAAAUAAGCAUUUUUAGUUCUUUUUUUUAUUAUGAAGAAAAUAACUACAAAUAAUAUAUAUUUUUCAAAAUAAUUUCAUAUUUAUUUAAGUUACUCUUUUUAAUCUAAUAACUUCAGAAAUAAAAAAAAAGUUUGAAGUGCAUAUUAUGUGGUUAGACAAAUAUACCCUCAAUUUUAUGGUUCUCAACGGUUGGUUUAAUGACAAUGAGUUAAGUGAGAAACGGGCAAAAGUGCAACAAGAAAAUUUAGUUGGACUCCACUCAAACACUUUGGUUGACAAUGAAGAUUCUGCUCUAGUAGAACAUCCGGUUAAGAGGGUUUGUUGGGGUGACUUGAAAAAUGAAGAACCUCUUGGUCAUACACAUUAUGUUUCAUCUGCUGAGAUCAAUUAUGAAACUUGGUAUCAUGAGAAUGAAACUACAUCAGAUGAGAGACUUCUUUGUGCUUUGUCGAAACUUCAACACAAAAAUGUCAAGACAAAGCAAUGUCAAUCGAGUUCAAGAUACCUUGCACGUAAUCGGACUCCUACCGUACGUCUUGACGUUUAGUUGUUUUGGACUUUGGUUACUCUUUUACCAUGUUUAUGGUUUGUUAAUGUUUUUUGCAUUUUUAUUAUUUUUAAGGGGUAUUGGUCUUACGUCCUCCCUUUUUUGUUGUUUUACCUCUCUUUGAUUGAAUAAAAUUUCGAGAAAUUUUAAAUACACACCCCUAAUCUCUUAAUACACACCCAUUGCUUAAUACACCCAUCAUCUAGUUUUUCAUUUUGAUAUUAAACUUAAUACACAUCCCAAACUGCCUAUAAUACUCUUAUAUCUAAAACUAAGAAAUAAUAUGUUAUUUAGUAUANNNNNNNNNNNNNNNNNNNNCUCUCUCUCUCUCUCUCUCUCUCUCUCUCUCUCUCUCUCUCAUUCUAUUCUCUCUCAGUCGCUCUCUGCUCAGCCGCUCACUGAGCCUCCAUCUCCGCCGUCGAUCUUCGCUGUCGGAUCGAACGAUCCGAUUCUGCCGGAGGAGGGCGCCGCUCUCAGGGAAUGGAGAAGUCCCAGACCCCGUCUCGAGCUGCGACGGAGCUCAGCGCUCCCUUCUGUCGUCCGGCUGUCUCACGGUGUCCCAUCGGUGGCCAGGGCUUCUUCUCGUCAUCCCCGACGUCUUUGUUGUGUCAGAUUUCAUGGAGGAGCGCUGCUGAAAGAGAAUCGGAGGAGAGAAGGUGAUUGCCUCUUCGAUCGGGUUUCCGAUUCCGGUCACGGCGGCGAGCGUGACUGGUGUGGAUAGCUUAGUCUCGCCAUCCCCGUUCUGUAUGUGGUCUCGAUUUCUUCAGAGGAGCUUCCAUGACUGAGAAUCAAUUAAUUGAAGCUCAAACAGUUUUCCGGCGAGUUUAUGUGUUUUCCGGCCACCGUCGAAGGCAAUUGAGGUAUGAAUCUUGAUCUUCUCUUCAAGCUCUACCUCUGUAUAUAAUUGGAAUUGAGUUUGGUGAUGUUUGAGAGAAUUUGGGUUUUAGGCAGAGGAGGACCGCCUUGAGUGACGUUGUUCACGGCGGCGGUGGGGGUUGAAGGAAUUGGUUUCCGGCUUUGUUAGUAUACUGAAUUUGUAUGAGAUAGUCAGUUUUGAUUUUGGGAUGAGAUUGAAAAAGUUGGAGUUAUGGGAUUUUGGUAAUGUUCAGUUAUUGUGUAGGGUGGUUUAAUUAAGAAUGGAGAAUUUGAGAUUUUCUGGGUUUGGUUGAGCUUGGCAGUAGCAUUGGAACAAAGUUAAGUUAUUAUGUUGCUUAAAUUCCAGAAACGAAGGGAGAUAAUGAACUGUAUGUUGUUCUUUUCAUUUUGGUAUAUGAUAAAAUGACUAUUUUGCCCUUUUAAGUCAAAAGCUGGGCCAUUGUGUCGCGGACAACUCAGCGCAUGAUGUCAUGAUAAGGAGAGCAAUUCAAAAAUUGGACUAAACUGAUGUGAAAUAGAACUUCAAGGACUAACGUUAUUAAAAAAAAAAAAUGUGACCAAACUGAUUAUUGACCUAAAGUACGAUGGGGCAAACUGAAUUUAAUCCUUAAAAUUACUCUAAAAUUUCUUGUUUUGCCAAAAAAAAAAAGUGAUAUUUUUGAAAUGUAAGUAAGUAAAGUAAUGAGUUCGGCUAUUAAGACCUCUAAAUUUACUCACUUGACCUCACUCUAUCGUGAGUUAUCGAAUGACAAAUAUAUUCUCUUACAUAAUGACUAUUAAAGACAAGAAUUAUAUAUAAAGAGAUAUAUUUAUUCUCUCUAAAAUCUCCAAUUCAAUAUUUGUAUUCUUUAUUAUUUUCAUUUUAUAUAUUAAAUUUCUAAUUUACUACAUAUUAAUAAAACAUUUUUUUUAUAUUUAAUAAGAAUUAAAACUAUNNNNNNNNNNNNNNNNNNNNNNNNNNNNNNNNNNNNNNNNNNNNNNNNNNNNNNNNNNNNNNNNNNNNNNNNNNNNNNNNNNNNNNNNNNNNNNNNNNNNNNNNNNNNNNNNNNNNNNNNNNNNNNNNNNNNNNNNNNNNNNNNNNNNNNNNNNNNNNNNNNNNNNNNNNNNNNNNNNNNNNNNNNNNNNNNNNNNNNNNNNNNNNNNNNNNNNNNNNNNNNNNNNNNNNNNNNNNNNNNNNNNNNNNNNNNNNNNNNNNNNNNNNNNNNNNNNNNNNNNNNNNNNNNNNNNNNNNNNNNNNNNNNNNNNNNNNNNNNNNNNNNNNNNNNNNNNNNNNNNNNNNNNNNNNNNNNNNNNNNNNNNAGAUUUAUGUUCCUAAAUUAAGGAAUGAAAUUAUAAUUGAAAUUUUUAGAGUGAAAAGUAAUUAUAAUGAGUAUUUUUUUUUAAGAGAUAAUGAGUUUUUGUUGAUCGAUAAAGAAAAAAGAUUGGAGGUCUAGUAAGUGAAUAAGAUGUGUAAUGAGCAAUAUAUUGAAAUAUAUGUGAAUAUUAUAAACAUGGAUAUUUUAGAAAUUUAAAUGGAGGUCUAGUGAGCAAAUGCUAAUAUUUAAAAGUAAAAUGGAGAUGUGGAGAGAAUGAGAGGUAUAAUGAGUAAAUUUAGAGGUCCCAAUAUAUAGCCGCACUCUAAAAUGAUUAAUGGGUCAAAAGUCAGUGACCAUUUGUGAGUUUUUGCUAAACAAAAAUUAUUGCUUAUUUAUUCGCACCCGAAAAAUGGGAGUGACAUCAAAUUUCUUGGUUUCUAGGAGGGCAAAGGUCAUAGAUCUCAAACAUGUUACACCGGUUUUCCGAUCAAUCUAUUGGUAAAUAAUGUAUGCAGCUAUUGCCAUACUAUCUUUUUUGUUUAUUCUACAAACAUUCUAAUUAUUAAAAGACUAUAUUGUUCAAGUACAAAAUAAUUUAAAAGUACAUUAAUUUUGUAAAGUGACUAAAUACAUAACCAAUUAACGACAAAAAAAAAAACAUAAACAAUUAAUUAUAGGACUAAUUUCAGUUUACUCUCAUCAACUUUAGGUUGAUCAUCAUGUUAGUCAUUUUUCUUUCAAUUUCAUCAAAAACACCGCUUAACUUUUAAUUUUCAUUAGCCGUGACCAAAUAUCUAUUUUUCAUCCAAUUCCCCCAUCAUGUAAUGAAUUGCAUUAAGAAGAAAACCAAAUUUAAAGUCGUUGAGACCACAGAAAAAGGGCAAAAUUGACAAAUUGCAUUCAAUCACAACAAAAUCACUAAGGUUAGAGGUUGUGAUGGGAAUAGAGAUAUGUAUUGACAUAAGGAAAAAUGGUUAGAAAGGUUAUUUUUUUCGGAAUUUGACUUUCUUCUUAAUGUCACGUCAUCACUUGACGGAGGAAUUUGAUGGAGAAUGGAGGCUUGGACACGGUUCAUGGAAAUUGAGAGUUAAAGGGUGUUUUUGAUGAUUUACCUAAAGUUGAUGGGGGUAAACUGAAAUUAGUUCUUAAUUAUAUUAACAUAACGAUAUUUUUUUAGAGUAUCAAAAGUUUGAAAUCACACGGCCAAUAUCGUUUGAUCUAGUGGAAUAAGUCUCUUUUUGUAAGCGAGAGGUUGUAAGUUCGACUUACAAUAGACUCGUUGUAGCUUAUUAACUGUGUAUUUGAUAAAAAAAAAAAACAUUUUAUUACGAAUUCAUAGAUUGUCUUCAAGGUGAAGAGUUGUCCCUUUUCUCCCUCGAGUCUGAUAUACAACUGAUAUGAGCAUGAUUAGACAUUAUUUAUAUCAAAUUAUCCUAUGCUUUCUUUGUGUGUUUGAUGUGUUUUUCUAGUUAUUUACUUUGUUUAUAUGUUUUCUAGGUAUUUCUAAAAAGAAAAUAAGGAAAAGAGAAAUUAGAAAGCAAAUUAAAUUCAGAAAUCUGCCUCUUCAUAUCAACUGAUUUCGACAUGCACCGAAGACAACUUAGAAUGAACUAGGUGAUGAAUCUUAUAUGAAUGGAAAUCUACGUAUGUCCUCUUUCCAUAAUUUUUUCUGGAUCGUGAAUAUAAUUUUUCUAGAGUUAUGGUCGAUUUUGUACCAGAAGGUAAUUUGCGCGUGAAUUUGACUUUUGAUGGGAAUUUGUGUUUUAUGGCACAAAUCACACCAGAAAGCCCACGAACGAGGUACUUCAUAACUCGACUUAUUAUAUCGAUGUGAUGUAGAUGAUGAAGAAAUAGAUGAGGUGUACUUCCAUUUGUCCUAGAUAUAUGCACCAAUCAGAAUAAAGGAAACAUAAGUCAAGAAGAAUUGGUUGAAUGAAGCAUUUUAAAAGUCCUAAGCCAUCAUCUCUUGUGCUCUUCAUUCUCUCCUCCUCCCCAUUCUUCUGUAUUUUUUCUUUAUUAUGUUUAUUUAGGUUUUUCUUAGUUAGAGAGUUGUUGAAUCCCUAGACAUGAUCAAUAAUAUUACUUGACAUUCAGUUUGUUUUUCUAUUAGUUCAAAUGAGGUUUUGUUUAUAUCUUCCUUGAGUAACAAAACCUAGAGAAAAAGCAUAGCGUCUCUCUCUAAGGUGUAGAAAGAGAAACCAGAUCUAGAAACUCCCCUCCCCCUCUCUUGGCCAGAUCUUGAUCCUCCUGGAUCUAGAUCGAAAGCUUUAGAAAUGGGGAUGCCACUCUUACUCAAGUUUUGACAUUUUUUUCUUUCAUCUUCAAGUUGCAUCUCCUUUCUCUGGUUUUUUCAAAUCUGCUCUCAUCUUUUUAAGGUGAUUUUGUACCUUUUAUGUGGUUAAUCCUAGCUCUAUCCAAAUCAGGAGAGCAUUGCUCCUCACUUUCUCUUCUCUUUUCUUUUCACUGCCAGUCAACCUCAAACGUUUCCAGAUCAAGAAUUACUCAACCCCUUAAUAAAUAUCUUCUAUCUUCUCUCAACCCGCAAACAGGUUCUUAUGGCUGCAAUGUCAAAGUGUAAGUCACUCACCUAUGAGAAUAUUGGUCCUCACACAUGGGUAACACCCCCCCUCCAAAUCUCCUUUGUUAUUGUUUGUGUUCUGGUUCUAUGAUAUGGAUCUCUGAUCCUUCUUGGCAGCUAUGGUUCCUUCUUGGUCACGAUGGUGGAGAAAACGUUCUUGUUGUGAAAGAUCUCAUAUGUGACAACACGACCCUGAAUUUACAGAAAAAUAAAAUCGAGUUUCAAUGGGAAUCAAAGAAUUUUCAAUCAAAUACAUCAACUUUUAAAUAUGAGGUUCUUGAUUAAUCGAAUUCUCCAAAAUUUCUACCUUCGUUGCUUAACCAAAACCCCAUUUUAUUCAUCUCUAGAUUUAUCUUGAGAAGCUGCGCUUAUUCACUUUGUCUCGAUCUUAUUCGAUGAACUCGUCUAAGGCUUAUCUUAGUGAUCAAUGCCACAACAACGUCAAAGAUAUCGAGAUGAAGUUCUCACCUCUAAUGCGACACCGGGAGAAGACCAGAAUACCGAGAAAAGGUUCUAGUCUCCCUUAAGUUGUUUUGUAGUGACGGAGCCACCGCCGUCCAGUUGAUUCUCGGUGUCUUAAUGGUGGAUAUGACUUCAUCUCGGUGUCUCCAACAUCUUUGUGUUGUUGUUUUGAGAAGAAACUCCUGGAGAUAUAAAAUCGAGUAGGGGAAAAAGUUUCCAGGUUCGCCGGCGAGUUCGAGAUUCUGGCAACGGCUGCAAGCAAGACCGAUGACGAUAGCUUCGCCUCCUCGUCCUUGUCCUUUCUGUGGUACUAAUUUUUUAAGAGAAACUUUAAGGAAGGAGAAUUGAAGAUAAUAAGUUUUGGGUUUUUAAGCGAGGGUUUGGCGUUUUACGUUGAACUUUGAAUUUAAUUUAAUGUCAAAGUUAGUAUAUGUAGCUCUACCUCUUUAUAUAACUAAAUUUGAGUUUAGUUAAGUUUUGGAGAAUUUGAUUCGGGUAGUGUCGACCACCGUGUGUUGUCACUGUGUACGACAGCGGUGGUAGUUGAAUUUUGAAUUAUCUCGAUUAAAAUUUUGUUUUUACUUAGUAUCAACUUGGGUCAGGAUAUUACAACAUCCCUUUGGUUUUUGGUUAUCAUUUUCUUUGUAUAUUGGGUUUUGAAUUGUAUCGGUUCAUCAAUAUGGAGCUAUUGGAUAUUCUGUUUCAAGCGAUUGCUCGGCGAUAGCGUGUGGCCGGAAGCGCGACAUGGAGAGUAAUAGCUAGAGUUUCUAUAAUGGGUCACCACCUUUGCUUAGUUUAUUUUAUGCUUAUUUUAAUAAUUAAUUUUCUAAUACUAGGUCUCUUUGAGCCUUCUAUUUUUUUUUAGUAAGUAAAAAUAUAUCAUAUUUGAUUUAUCCUUUGUAAAAGUCAUCAGUGAAUCUCCCAAUAACUAAGGGAUUUCCAAAAAUAUUUUGAAGUCUUGUAUCCCCAAAACAUAUAUUGGCCAUUUACAUCAACCAGUUAAGCCAUACCACAUAUCCUAUAACUUCCAUAAACUCAUAUACUGACUUAGAAGAAGACUUUUGCGCUACGAUCCACUUGAUUACAGAUAUAAUUAUAAGAAUAACCCCAAAGCAUAUUAUACUACUGAUUUUCCUGCCAAGCAAGUAAAAUAUCAUUUGCUUUAUAGUAUUGCCAAUAUUUUUUCAAAGUGUAGGCAAGAACAUCCUUCAAAGUAUCUGAAACCUUCUUUAGACCAGGAUCCUCUUCCAAAGUUACAGUAACAUUCUCCAAGGUCUCAGUAAUCAGAACCACCUCCAAAGUAUCAGUGAUACCAGUCCCCUGAGUUACAUUACCGCUUAGGUUACUGCUCAUGACAUUCUUCCAUAUUUCUUGAUCUUCUAACUUAUAUGUUGCUUUUUCUGAUUUCAUUUUUGUUAUUUCCAUAGCACUCAACCUUCCAAUAUCACCACUUAUUGACAAAUCUUUGUCCUCAUCGCCUUGUGCAAAUAGACUAAGAAUGUCGUUUGUAUCUGUCUUGGCUAUAACAAUCACAAUGUCACAACACUUACUGCAUAGCUCAAACUCCCCCAACAAGUUGUAGGUGUCUUUACAUUUCCCACUUUCAACCUUACCUACCACAUUAUUAUCCCCUUCAAAUAUCUCUAGCACGAUUCUUUUUUCAUUUGGCUUCAAUAAAAAUGGUUAACACAUAGGAUGAAAGAGUGACGAUAAUCG
rnacentral:lncRNA from 1 species